rnacentral:rRNA from 1 species
GUUGAACGCUGGCGGCGUGCCUAAUACAUGCAAGUCGAGCGAAGCUGGGACGCGUGCGGAUCACUUGGAUAAACCCCCCUAAGACUGGGAUAACUUCGAGAAACCGGAGCUAAACCGGAUACUUAUCGAUGGAUCUGCUCUGCAUUAGUUAGUUGGUAGGGUAACGGCUUACCAAGGCAACGAUGCAUAGCCGACCUGAGAGGGUGAUAGGCCACACUGGAAUGGAGAGAAGGUCCAGACUAAUACGGGAGGCAGGAGUAGGGAAUGUUCCGGAAUGGGCGAAAGCCUGACGGAGCAAAGCCGCGUGAGGUAAGAAGGUCUUCGGAUCGUAAAAGUAUGUUAUUAUGGAAGAGGUACCUAAUGAGAAAGCAACGGCUAACUACGUGCCAGCAGCCGCGGUAAUAC